rnacentral:rRNA from 1 species
GAUGAACGCUGGCGGCGUGCCUAAUACAUGCAAGUCGAGCGAACGGACGAGAAGCUUGCUUCUCUGAUGUUAGCGGCGGACGGGUGAGUAACACGUGGAUAACCUACCUAUAAGACUGGGAUAACUUCGGGAAACCGGAGCUAAUACCGGAUAAUAUUUUGAACCGCAUGGUUCAAAAGUGAAAGACGGUCUUGCUGUCACUUAUAGAUGGAUCCGCGCUGCAUUAGCUAGUUGGCAAGGUAACGGCUUACCAAGGCAACGAUGCAUAGCCGACCUGAGAGGGUGAUCGGCCACACUGGAACUGAGACACGGUCCAGACUCCUACGGGAGGCAGCAGUAGGGAAUCUUCCGCAAUGGGCGAAAGCCUGACGGAGCAACGCCGCGUGAGUGAUGAAGGUCUUCGGAUCGUAAAACUCUGUUAUUAGGGAAGAACAUAUGUGUAAGUAACUGUGCACAUCUUGACGGUACCUAAUCAGAAAGCCACGGCUAGCUACGUGCCAGCAGCCGCGGUAAUACCUAAGUGGCAAGCGUUAUCCGGAAUUAUUGGGCGUAAAGCGCGCGUAGGCGGUUUUUUAGUCUGAUGUGAAAGCCCACGGCUCAACCGUGGAGGGUCAUUGGAAACUGGAAAACUUGAGUGCAGAAGAGGAAAGUGGAAUUCCAUGUGUAGCGGUGAAAUGCGCAGAGAUAUGGAGGAACACCAGUGGCGAAGGCGACUUUCUGGUCUGUAACUGACGCUGAUGUGCGAAAGCGUGGGGAUCAAACAGGAUUAGAUACCCUGGUAGUCCACGCCGUAAACGAUGAGUGCUAAGUGUUAGGGGGUUUCCGCCCCUUAGUGCUGCAGCUAACGCAUUAAGCACUCCGCCUGGGGAGUACGACCGCAAGGUUGAAACUCAAAGGAAUUGACGGGGACCCGCACAAGCGGUGGAGCAUGUGGUUUAAUUCGAAGCAACGCGAAGAACCUUACCAAAUCUUGACAUCCUUUGACAACUCUAGAGAUAGAGCCUUCCCCUUCGGGGGGGCAAAGUGACAGGUGGUGCAUGGUUGUCGUCAGCUCGCGUCGUGAGAUGUUGGGUUAAGUCCCGCAACGAGCGCAACCCUUAAGCUUAGUUGCCAUCAUUAAGUUGGGCACUCUAAGUUGACUGCCGGUGACAAACCGGAGGAAGGUGGGGAUGACGUCAAAUCAUCAUGCCCCUUAUGAUUUGGGCUACACACGUGCUACAAUGGACAAUACAAAGGGCAGCGAAACCGCGAGGUCAAGCAAAUCCCAUAAAGUUGUUCUCAGUUCGGAUUGUAGUCUGCAACUCGACUACAUGAAGCUGGAAUCGCUAGUAAUCGUAGAUCAGCAUGCUACGGUGAAUACGUUCCCGGGUCU